UGGGGAAUUUUGGACAAUGGGCGAAAGCCUGAUCCAGCAAUGCCGCGUGUGUGAAGAAGGCCUUCGGGUUGUAAAGCACUUUUGUCCGGAAAGAAAACGCCGUGGUUAAUACCCGUGGCGGAUGACGGUACCGGAAGAAUAAGCACCGGCUAACUACGUGCCAGCAGCCGCGGUAAUACGUAGGGUGCAAGCGUUAAUCGGAAUUACUGUGCGUAAAGCGUGCGCAGGCGGUCCGCUAAGACAGAUGUGAAAUCCCCGGGCUUAACCUGGGAACUGCAUUUGUGACUGGCGGGCUAGAGUAUGGCAGAGGGGGGUAGAAUUCCACGUGUAGCAGUGAAAUGCGUAGAGAUGUGGAGGAAUACCGAUGGCGAAGGCAGCCCCCUGGGCCAAUACUGACGCUCAUGCACAAAAGCGUGGGGAGCAAACAGG
rnacentral:rRNA from 1 species